rnacentral:rRNA from 1 species
AGCGAACGCUGGCGGCAGGCCUAAUACAUGCAAGUCGAACGGCUCUUCGGAGCAGUGGCGGACGGGUGAGUAACGCGUGGGAACGUGCCCUUUGGUUCGGAACAACACAGGGAAACUUGUGCUAAUACCGAAUGUGCCCUUCGGGGGAAAGAUUUAUCGCCAUUGGAGCGGCCCGCGUUGGAUUAGCUAGUUGGUGGGGUAAUGGCCCACCAAGGCGACGAUCCAUAGCUGGUCUGAGAGGAUGAUCAGCCACACUGGGACUGAGACACGGCCCAGACUCCUACGGGAGGCAGCAGUAGGGAAUCUUGCGCAAUGGGCGAAAGCCUGACGCAGCCAUGCCGCGUGAAUGAUGAAGGUCUUAGGAUUGUAAAAUUCUUUCACCGGGGAAGAUAAUGACGGUACCCGGAGAAGAAGCCCCGGCUAACUUCGUGCCAGCCGCCGCGGUAA